UGGCAACCGAUCCCAUUCACACACCAUAAUCACAAUCACAAGUACAUCAUCAAGAUCAUACAUUUACAUCAUGAUUUCAUGGCAAUCAUCAUUCAUCUAUCUCAUUUACAACAAGUGUGAUCAACAUUGCAACAUUCAUACAUAUACAAGUAUCAUAAUGAAGCAAGAACAAACAAACAUUACACAAUCAUAGAAUCACAACCAUCA
rnacentral:lncRNA from 1 species